AUUGAACGCUAGCGGGAUGCUUUACACAUGCAAGUCGAACGAGUGGCGGACGGGUGAGUAAUAUAUCGGAACGUGCCCAGUAGCUGGGGUUAACUACUCGAAAGAGUGGCUAAUACCGCAUACCAUUCGAGCGGCCGUUAUGGGAUUAGCUAGUUGGUGGGGUAAAGGCUCACCAAGGAAACGAUCCGUAGCUGGUUUGAGAGGACGACCAGCCACACUGGGACUGAGACACGGCCCAGACUCCUACGGGAGGCAGCAGUAGGGAAUUUUGGACAAUGGGGGAAAGCCUGAUGCAGCCAUGCCGCGUGUAUGAGAAGGCCUUCGGGUUGUAAAGUACUUUUGGCAGGGAAGCGGUAUCUGCAGAAUAAGCACCGGCUAACUACGUGCCAGCAGCCGCGGUAAUUC
rnacentral:rRNA from 1 species